rnacentral:rRNA from 1 species
GAUGAACGCUAGCGGCAGGCCUAAUACAUGCAAGGCUAGGGGCAGCAAUGUCACCGUCGAACGGGUGCGUAACGCGUAUGCAACCUACCUAUCACUGGGGGAUAGCCCGGGGAAACCCGGAUUAAUACCGCAUGAUACAUAGAGAAUACCUAUUUUUUAUGUUAAAGAUUUAUCGGUGGUAGAUGGGCAUGCGUCUGAUU